rnacentral:lncRNA from 1 species
UCACAAUUAACUCAUGUACUCGAACUCUUCUCUUUCCCCCAAACCUGAAUCAAAGCUUUCACAAGACAUAAUGAAUUCAACGAGGGAAAUUAAUCUCAACAAUUGAAUAGGAUCAUAUCUCUAAUUUGUAGUCUCUAAUAGCUCAUGAAAGCCAUAUAAAAUAGGCUAAAAUAUGGUUUUAAUCCCUGCAAAUAUACUUCGUUUUGGUUUUAGUCCCUGUAAAAAAAAAUUGUUUUUGGUCCCUGCAAAAUUUGUUGUUUUUGAAAAUAGUCCCUGAAUCCACUUUUGUGAUGAUUUGCAUACGUGACAC